rnacentral:rRNA from 1 species
UACAGAGGUGGCAAGCGUUGUUCGGAAUUAUUGGGCGUAAAGGGCGCGUAGGCGGCCGAAUAAGUCUGACGUGAAAUCCCACGGCCCAACCGUGGAACUGCGUUUGAUACUGUUCGGCUCGAGUCCGGGAGAGGGUAGCGGAAUUCCCAGUGUAGCGGUGAAAUGCGUAGAUAUUGGGAGGAACACCGGUGGCGAAGGCGGCUACCUGGACCGGUACUGACGCUGAGGCGCGAAAGCUAGGGUAGCAAACAGG